CCAACCCACACCCAUCAGACUCUAACAGCAAGCAGGAAGGUGACACGAUUGGGCCAGGACGAGAGCGACCGCUCCAUCAGGAUGACUGGACAUGGACGGAUGUGCCAGACACAGACAGCAAUGAGACCAGCACACGGCAUGCUCCUGGCCUCUCUCCCCUUGAGAACUCAGCCGGAAAAGAUGCCAACACUCUACAGGACAGAUAAGACAGCCCCAACCCAUUCCCCACCACGGUCUCACCUCGCUAAGUGGGAACGUGACACAGUUGAGCUACAA